UCGAUUUGAGUGCUACAGGAAAUUCAACGAUGAAGUGGAUCGGUUUGACUUUCUUGUUGCUAUCAUCCUUGAUGGUGGCAACAGAAGCGCGACCCCAAGCCAGGUUCCCGCCUCACUUUCCUACAAGAGGGCCCAUCAUCCCUCCAUACCCCUGCAACUGUACGUUCCCACCGUGUCCUUGUGAUCCUCCUAGUCGGAACGGGCUCGAG